UACGAAGGGGGCUAGCGUUGUUCGGAAUCACUGGGCGUAAAGCGCACGUAGGCGGCUCUUUAAGUCAGGGGUGAAAUCCCGAGGCUCAACCUCGGAACUGCCUUUGAUACUGGGGAUCUCGAGUCCGGGAGAGGUGAGUGGAACUGCGAGUGUAGAGGUGAAAUUCGUAGAUAUUCGGAAGAACACCAGUGGCGAAGGCGACUUACUGGACACAUAUUGACGCUGAGGUGCGAAAGCGUGGGGAGCAAACAGG
rnacentral:rRNA from 1 species